rnacentral:tRNA from 1 species
AGGGCUAUAGCUCAGUUCGGUAGAGCAACUCGCUUACAGUUCGAAUCCGUAUAGCCCUA